GGGUUGUGAGGUUAAGCGACUAAGCGUACACGGUGGAUGCCCUGGCAGUCAGAGGCGAUGAAGGACGUGCUAAUCUGCGAUAAGCGCCGGUAAGGUGAUAUGAACCGUUAUAACCGGCGAUUUCCGAAUGGGGAAACCCAGUGUGAUUCGUCACACUAUCAUUAACUGAAUCCAUAGGUUAAUGAGGCGAACCGGGGGAACUGAAACAUCUAAGUACCCCGAGGAAAAGAAAUCAACCGAGAUUCCCCCAGUAGCGGCGAGCGAACGGGGAGGAGCCCAGAGCCUGAAUCAGCAUGUGUGUUAGUGGAAGCGUCUGGAAAGGCGCGCGAUACAGGGUGACAGCCCCGUACACAAAAGCGCACAUGCUGUGAGCUCGAUGAGUAGGGCGGGACACGUGGUAUCCUGUCUGAAUAUGGGGGGACCAUCCUCCAAGGCUAAAUACUCCUGACUGACCGAUAGUGAACCAGUACCGUGAGGGAAAGGCGAAAAGAACCCCGGCGAGGGGAGUGAAAAAGAACCUGAAACCGUGUACGUACAAGCAGUGGGAGCACCCUUUGGGGUGUGACUGCGUACCUUUUGUAUAAUGGGUCAGCGACUUAUAUUCUGUAGCAAGGUUAACCGUAUAGGGGAGCCG
rnacentral:rRNA from 2 species